rnacentral:rRNA from 1 species
AUUGAACGCUGGCGGCGUGCCUAACACAUGCAAGUCGAGCGGUAACAGGUGUAGCAAUACAUGCUGACGAGCGGCGAACGGGUGAGUAAUGCUUUGGAAUCUUCCCAGUAGUGGGGAAUAACCAGUCGAAAGAUUGGCUAAUACCGCAUACGUCUGUAAAGGGAAAGCGGGGGCUCGUAAGACCUCGCGCUAUUGGAUGAGCCAAAGUCGGAUUAGCUAGUUGGUGGGGUAAUGGCCUACCAAGGCGACAAUCCGUAGCUGGUCUGAGAGGACGACCAGCCACACCGGAACUGAGACACGGUCCGGACUCCUACGGGAGGCAGCAGUGGGGAAUAUUGGACAAUGGGGGAAACCCUGAUCCAGCGACGCCGCGUGUGUGAAGAAGGCCUGCGGGUUGUAAAGCACUUUUAGUGGGGACAAAAAGCUACGGAUUAAUACUCUGUGGUCUUGAUUUAACCCAAAGAAAAAGCACCGGCUAACUCUGUGCCAGCAGCCGCGGUAAUACAGAGGGUGCGAGCGUUAAUCGGAAUUACUGGGCGUAAAGCGCGCGUAGACGGUUUUGUAAGUCAGAUGUGAAAUCCCUGGGCUCAACCUGGGAACUGCAUUUGAAACUGCAUGGCUAGAGUAUCGAAGAGGGAAGUGGAAUUUCCGGUGUAGCGGUGAAAUGCGUAGAUAUCGGAAGGAACACCAGUGGCGAAAGCGACUUCCUGGUCGAAUACUGACGUUCAUGUGCGAAAGCGUGGGGAGCAAACAGGAUUAGAUACCCUGGUAGUCCACGCCAUAAACGAUGACAACUAGAUGUUGGGAGGGUCUGCCUCUCGGUGUCGCAGCUAACGCGUUAAGUUGUCCGCCUGGGGAGUACGGCAGCAAGGUUG